rnacentral:hammerhead_ribozyme from 1 species
GUUCAGCUGAAGAGUCCAAAAUAGGACGAAACGCGCGUCCCGAAC